CACGUAGUUGGCCGGUGCUUCUUCUAUAGGUACCGUCACUUACGCUUCGUCCCUACCGAAAGAGGUUUACAACCCGAAGGCCGUCAUCCCUCACGCGGCGUCGCUGCAUCAGGCUUGCGCCCAUUGUGCAAUAUUCCCCACUGCUGCCUCCCGUAGGAGUCUGGGCCGUAUCUCAGUCCCAGUGUGGCCGGACACCCUCUCAGGCCGGCUACCCGUCGUCGCCUUGGUAGGCCAUCACCCCCACCAACAAGCUGAUAGGCCGCGGGCCCAUCCCACACCGCAAAAGCCUUCCACCACAAACCAUGCGAUUCGUAGUCCUAUCCGGUAUUAGACCCAGUUUCCCAGGCUUAUCCCAAAGUGCAGGGCAGAUCACCCACGUGUUACUCACCCGUUCGCCACUCGAGCACCCCGAAGGGCCUUUCCGUCGACUUGCAUGUGUUAAGCACGCCGCCAGCGUUCGUCCUGAGCAGGAUCAAACUCU
rnacentral:rRNA from 1 species